rnacentral:rRNA from 1 species
UCAGGCCUAACACAUGCAAGUCAUACGAGAGUUUUUAACUCAAGUGGCGGACGGGUGAGUAACACGUAAGAAUUUACCUUUAGGAGGGGGAUAACAACGAUAAAUUGUUGCUAAUACCCCAUAUGCUUUCGAGUGAAAUGGAUUUUUCCGCCUAGAGAGAAGCUUGCGCCUGAUUAGCUUGUUGGUAAGGUAAUGGCUUACCAAGGCGACGAUCAGUAUCUGGUUUGAGAGGAUGAUCAGACACACUGGAACUGAGACACGGUCCAGACUCCUACGGGAGGCAGCAGUGGGGAAUUUUCCGCAAUGGGCGAAAGCCUGACGGAGCAAUCUCGCGUGAGGGAUGACGGCCUAUGGGUUGUAAACCUCUUUUUUCAGGGAGGAAUAAAAUGACGUGUACCUGAAGAAUAAGCAUCGGCUAACUCCGUGCCAGCAGCCGCGGUAAGACGGAGGAUGCAAGUGUUAUCCGGAAUCACUGGGCGUAAAGCGUCUGUAGGUGGUUUAGUAAGUCAACAGUUAAAUCUUGGAGCUUAACUUCAAAAUCGCAGUCGAAACUGCUAGACUAGAGUAUAGUAGGGGUAAAGGGAAUUUCCAGUGGAGCGGUGAAAUGCGUAGAGAUUGGAAAGAACACCGAUGGCGAAGGCACUUUACUGGGCUAUUACUGACACUCAGAGACGAAAGCUAGGGUAGCAAAUGGGAUUAG